GACGAACGCUGGCGGCGUGCUUAACACAUGCAAGUCGAACGGAAAGGCCCUGCUUGCAGGGUACUCUAGUGGCGAACGGGUGAGUAACACGUGUGGGCGCUGCCCCGCUCUCCGGGAUAAGAUUGGGAAACUGGGUCUAUUACCGGAUAGGUGCCAUCUUUCGUGUGGUGGUUGGUAAGUUUUUUCGGUGUAGGGUGAGUUUGCGGCCUAUUAGCCUGUUGGUGGGGUAAUGGCCUACCAAGGCGGCGACGGGUAGCCGGCCUGAGAGGGUGUACUGCCACAUAGAGUAUGCGAGACGCAGCACACUACUCCAAGGGGGAGCAGUGGGGGAUAUUGUGCAAGGGGCGCGAGCCUGAUACAGCGACGCCGCGUGGGGGAUGAAGGCAUACGGGUGGUGAACUCCUUUUGCUAGAGUAGAAGCACUAUAGUGACGGUACCGAGAUAAGAAGCACCGGCUAACUACGUG
rnacentral:rRNA from 1 species